GUAUAUGUACCACAUUUUCUUUAUCCAUUCAUCCAUUGAUGAAUACAUAAGUUGAUUCCAUACAUUGGCUAUUGUGAGUAGUGCCACAAUAAACAUGGAAGUACAAAUAGUUAUUUGAUAUACUGAUUUCCUUUCCUUUGGAUAAAUACCCAGUACUUGGAUUGCUGUAUCAUAUGCAAAAAACUAAAAGUUUUACUUUUAGUUUUUUGAGAAGUCUGCAUACUGUUUUCCAUAAUGGCUGUACUAUUUACACUCCUACCAACAGUGUAUAAGAGUUCCCUUUACUCAUCAUCCUUGCCAGCAUUGCUAAUUUUUGUCUUUCUGAUAAUAGCUAUUUUUUUUUUUUUUGAGACUGAGUUUCACUCUUGUUACCCAGACUGAAGUGCAAUGGUGCAAUCUCGGCUCACCACAACCUCCACCUCCCAGGUUCAAGCAAUUCUCCUGCCUCAGCCUUCCGAGUAGCUGGGAUUACAGGCAUACACCACCAUGCCAGGCUAAUUUUUUGUAGUUUUAGUAGAGACGGGGUUUCUCCAUGUUGGUCAGGCUGGUCUCGAAGUCCCGACCUCAGGUGAUCCGCCCACCUCGGCCUCCCAAAGUGCUGAGAUUACAGACAUGAGCCACUGCUCCCAGCCUUGCUAAUAGCUAUUCUAAUUAAGGAAAAGUUAUUUUACCUGAUGGAUUCCUCCUUGGUCACUUUUCAGCAGCAGCCUGCUCUUCUUUUGCAAUCUCUUCAGGAUCUCUGUAGAAGUAGAGAUCAGGCAUGAACUCCCACGGGUGUUCACGGGAAAUGGUGCCACGCAUGCGCAGAACUUCCCGAGCCAGCAUCCACCACAUCAAACCCACUGAGUGAGCUCCCUUGUUGUUGCAUGGGAUGGCAAUGUCCACGUAUCACAGAGGAGAAUCUGUGUUACACAGAGCAAUGUAGAGACGGGGUUUCACCGUGUUAGCCAGGAUGGUCUCGAUCUCCUGACCUCAUGAUCCACCCGCCUUGGCCUCCCAAAGUGCUGGGAUUACAGGCGUGAACCACCGCGCCCGGCCAGGAGAGUGUAUUUUCUACACAUAAGUUCAGGUCAUCUCCACACAGACCCAGUUUGCCUCCCUCUUUUCCGAUCUGAAUGCCUUUAAUUUCCUUCUCUUGCCUAACUGUACUGGCUAGAACAUCCCGAACUAGGUUGAAUGAGGUGCUGAGAGUGGGCAUAAUUGGCUUCUUUACCUCCGAAGAAAAUAUUUCAUGUUUUCUUCAUUGAUUAUGAUGUUAGUUGUGGGUAUUUCAUUUACUGCCUAUAUGGUAUAAAGAUACAUUCCUUCUAUGCCUAAUUGGUUGACAGCUUUUAUUAUAUCAAAUUCUAUAAAACUGUUUUAUUUUUAAAUCUAUUGAGAUGAUCAAAUGGCGGUGUCCCUCCUCCUUUAUAAGACUAUUUAAAACAUCCUUGCCUCAGAGGGACAAAUCCCAUUUGAACAUGGCAAGUAAUCCUCUUAAUAUAAAGUGGAAUUAGGUUUGACAGAAAUUACCAGUGAAGCACUAUGGGCAUAUAUUUGAUAGGAGAUUUUUAUUAUGGAUACAAUUUACUUGUUAUUGGUCUCUUCAGAUAUUCUUUCUCAUGACUGGAUUUGCGUACGUUGUAUGAGUACAAAUUUUUUCAUUUAUUCUACGCUGCUCUUUAUUAUAUGCUUCCUUCUGUAAAAUUUGGACUGUUUGUUCUUCCCAUUAUAUUAAUAGUUGCUUCAGGUGUAACAUAAGGUUAUUUUUUAAGUACUUUUCUGGUAUCACAAAUAUUGGUGUUUUGUGUUUCAUCUUUCAUUUGUCAAAAUAUUUUUUAACUUCCAUUUGGAUUUAAUGAUUCACCCAUUCAUUAUUCAAAAGCAUAUUGUUUAAUUUCUAUGUGUUUGUGAACAUUCUAAUGUUCAUUCUACUAAUAGUUCCUAGGUUCAUGCAAUGUGCUUAAAAAUGUGGUAUAAUUUCUGUAUUAUUAAAUGUAAAACUAGUCUUGAUUCGUAACAUAAGGCCUACGCAAAGAUCCAUCUUCUGCAGAGAAGAAUGUAGAUUGUGCCGCUGUUAGACGAAGUAUUCUGUAUACGUCAGUUUGCUUUAUUUGGCAUAAAGUGUAGUGUAAGCCAGAUGUAGUGUAAGUCAGAUCCAGAUGAUCUGCCCAUUGCUGAAACUUCAGUACUUAAGUCCCCUAUUAUUAUUGUAUGGCAAUCUAUCUGUCCACUCAGAAGUUAUUAUAUUUGUUUUAUAUGAUUGAGCACUUCUGUUUUGGGUAUAUAUGUAUUUACAAUUACUAUAACCUCUUGCUGAAUUAACCCCUUUUACCAUUAUGUAAUAAACUUAUU
rnacentral:lncRNA from 1 species